rnacentral:rRNA from 1 species
GGCUCCGGCCCUAUCAGCCUGAAGGCGCCCGAUCUCCUCUGAUCUCGGAAGCUAAGCAGGGUCGGGCCUGCUUAGUAUCUUGGAUGGGAGACCACCUGGGAAUCCCGGGUGCUCGAGGCU